GACGAACGCUGGCGGCGUGCUUAACACAUGCAAGUCGAACGAUGAAGCCGGAGCUUGCUCUGGUGAAUUAGUGGCGAACGGGUGAGUAACACGUGAGUAACCUGCCCUUGACUCUGGGAUAAGCGUUGGAAACGACGUCUAAUACCGGAUACGAGCUGGGACCGCAUGGUCACUAGCUGGAAAGAACUUCGGUCAAGGAUGGACUCGCGGCCUAUCAGGUAGUUGGUGAGGUAACGGCUCACCAAGCCGACGACGGGUAGCCGGCCUGAGAGGGUGACCGGCCACACUGGGACUGAGACACGGCCCAGACUCCUACGGGAGGCAGCAGUGGGGAAUAUUGCACAAUGGGCGCAAGCCUGAUGCAGCAACGCCGCGUGAGGGACGACGGCCUUCGGGUUGUAAACCUCUUUUAGCAGGGAAGAAGCGAAAGUGACGGUACCUGCAGAAAAAGCACCGGCUAACUACGUGCCAGCCGCCGCGGUAAUAC
rnacentral:rRNA from 1 species